AGUAUCAGCUGAUUACUGCUGAGUAUGAUACAUGCAGGACCUCCCCCUCCAGUCAUGUGAUCAUGGGAGCAUUAGACUUUGUGUUUCCUCUGUGUUGAACACUUUGACUCCAUCCUUCAUCUGGACGGAGGCUCAUCAUGCUGAUCUCACUCAUUUAUCUCUCACUUCUUUUACACUCAGGACUCACUGUUGUAGUUCUUCAGUCUGGAGAUCAGAUAUCUGACCCUGGACUCACAGUGAAGCUGCAGUGCAGCAUGGGUCCAGGGUUCAACAUGAUGAGCUACAGCAUGUUCUGGUACCGACAACACCACUACGGAGCUCCAGUGGAAUAUCUCAUCAGAGAGUACGACUUACCUGCUGGACACUUCCAGUCCUCUAUCGACGCAUCCAAAAACAGCUUCACUCUUGAAAUAAGUGAGCUGCUUCUCAAUGACAGCAGCACCUACUACUGUGCUGCCAGUCACAGUGAUGCACACAGAGCAGACCGUCAUACAAAUAACAAGACUGACUGUCACAGAUGGCACACAGGCAGGAAGGAGCUGUGGCUCCACUGGUUUGGCUCUUAACAAACAGUGAGGAGAGAAUAUAAAAGAGGCUUCAUGUUGGAGACAAGAAAUGAAAUAAAACUCAAAUUCUGGUUAAAUUCACCAGAUACAGUUUCAG